UGUGCGGCAGUGCUGUUGCCUUGUGGGCACAGAGCGGUACUGCAGCUGUGCUCCUAGCCAGGUGGGACCGGGCGGGGCCGAGCCCAGCCGAAGCGUGCGGGCCCGAACCGAGCCGAAGCGGGCUGGAAAGAGCCGAACUGAGCGGAGCUGCGUCGGGACCCCACCCCGCAGGAGCCGGCCGGGAGGACCCCAGCAGAGGCGUUGACUCCAAUGCCUGCCGCCGCAGGCGGGGCCGCCACCCAGCUACGGAGCCACUGAGCCCCGCUGCCAUCAUCCUCGCCCCGGGAAAGGCGGCGGAAAAUCGGGCGGAGUGCUCGGAAUCGGUCGGCGUCGGCAGGUUUUUCGUUCACACAAGUUAGACGUGCUGAGAGCAGCGGGGGCCUUAAUUGUGCCAUAACAAAGCUGGCCGCUCAGCCGGAAGUGGCUUCAGCCACAACAAAGAUGGUGGCGAGGAAGGGCGGAAGUGAUGUCAUGACACACACAGGAUGGCUGCCCGGUCGUGGCUGGCUUGACCUUCCAAGGAUGGCGGCCAAAAAGGCGGGAAAAUGGAAGGACCCUGGGCAGUGGGUGCAUGCUUUCGACUGCCUGACAAACACCCCGGCGCCGACGCCGCUCCGGUGCAAUUUUCCAUGGCUUUUCUGGCCGUGCGGACACGGGCUGUGCGCUCGGCAGUGCCCGGGCCAGGCGCGAGCCGGUCGGGCACCGACAGGCAGCGGUGAAGACGCCUCUCUCUGCCGGGGUCCUUGCCGCGGCCGUGUUCUGGGGCUUCUGGCACUCGUGACGACCCGUACGUUGCUGCCGCUCCUCUCGCUCCGUUCUCUCCCCCACGGCCCGGGGAAAUGGCGGAAACCCCAAUGGCAUCGGGACCGAACGGUCGCUCCCCGGCCCUGGGACCGAAGCAGCCCGAGGAGGCGGCUGCUCUGUGUGCCGGAACAGUGAGAGCGGCGGGUGGGGCGGGGGCAGGUUAGCAACCGAGUAUAUACCUGCAAUCCUCCCCUUGCAGCUGCUGACAGCACUGAAAACCUGUGUGCUUCGUGGUGUCUAUUGCCCAGCUGUCUACAAUUCCAUUGUGUUUGGUGCAUUAAGUCACACCCAGCUGUGUGGGAUGGCAGGUGAGCACAUUGCCCGACCCUUUUAGCUUUUCUGGCUCAUGCACAACUUCCUUUCCUUUUGGAUAUGGAAAACAGGGAAGAGAGGGUAGUGUGACAUUAGCACUAAUUUCUAGCAGAUUUUUAACUGCCCCUGAUGCUCGUUCAUCUUUGCAGUGUGGGUUUUCAUGCUGACAAAUCCUCUGCUUUGCCUUCUGCUCACAGUCAGCUGGGCCCUUUAUUGAACAGAUUUAUCUGCUACAAGGCUACGCAGAAGGAUGGAAAGGAGGAACACAGGGG